AGGUCCCGCCUGCCCUGUGACAAACGUUCAACGGCCGCGGUAUUUUGACCGUGCAAAGGUAGCGUAAUCACUUGUCUUUUAAAUGAAGACCUGUAUGAAAGGCAUCACGAGAGUUUAACUGUCUCUAUUUUCUAAUCAAUGAAAUUGAUCUAUUCGUGCAGAAGCGAAUAUAAUAACAUUAGACGAGAAGACCCUAUGGAGCUUCAAACACUUAAAUUAAUUAUGUAACCAUCCAUUUCCCAGGAAAUAAACAAAAUAUACAACACUUCUAAUUUAACUGUUUUUGGUUGGGGUGACCAAGGGGAAAAACAAAUCCCCCUCAUCGAUUGAGUACUAAGUACUUAAAAAUUAGAAUGACAAUUCUAAUUAAUAAAACAUUUACCGAAAAAUGAUCCAGGAUUUCCUGAUCAAUGAACCAAGUUACCCUAGGGAUAACAGCGCAAUCCUUUCUCAGAGUCCCUAUCGAAGAGAGGGUUUACGACCUCGAUGUUGGAUCAGGACAUCCUAAUGGUGCAACCGCUAUUAAGGGUUCGUUUGUUCAACGAUUAAUAGUCCUACGUGAUUGAGUUCAGACCGGG
rnacentral:rRNA from 1 species